rnacentral:rRNA from 1 species
UACUCCUACGCGAGGCAGCGGUGGGAAUAUUGGACAAUGGGCGCAAGCCUGAUCCAGCCAUGCCGCGUGAGUGAUGAAGGCCUUAGGGUUGUAAAGCUCUUUUGUCCGGGAAGAUAAUGACUGUACCGGAAGAAUAAGCCCCGGCUAACUUCGUGCCAGCAGCCGCGGUAAUAC